GUCCCGUGAUGAGGCUCCCAUGCGUGUCAUCUGACCCCUGCACCGCCGGCGUGCCUCCCGGCCGGUGUUCUACUGCACCGGGGGGCGGCUGGGCUCGGGGGGAGUGAUCACAGCCGCCUGCUUUCCUGAGGAC
ensembl:snoRNA small nucleolar RNA, C/D box 10